CCGCUCCCAGUGCUGACUGUUUCUUUUGAAUGCAUUAAAGUCUUGCUGGCACUUUGUUCUUGUGUUUUUGGAGUUUGUUGGCAGCAGACAGAGGACAACUGACAAUUGAUCAAGAAAUGGAUAAUCCCAUGGCUCAGUCUUUAGAAGUUCAAGGAGGUUAUGUGCUCCCCCUGAAGAGGCUAGCCUUGGACCCAAUAAUUACCAUCCCGUCUUCUUUUGCAGGAAAAAUUUGGAAUUAUUAACGGAAACUUGCUACUAAAGAAGAAACCUCACAAGCCGUCAGAAUAAAAAACACUACUCAGCCCAUCUUCAGUUUGGUGUCUUUCAGUGGCAGAAGAGCACAAUUCCCAAUGCUUGCAGCAUUAUGUCAUGCCUCUACUAUGAAGAUUCAAUUUCUGAAGCUAAGCCAGCCUGGCUCUGGUAAAUGCCUUGGAUGGUGUAAUGGCAUGUUGGAAUGACCUUGGAGGAAGACGGGGAAGAGAUGCUGCAAGGGAGGCGGAAACCCCCAAUGGCUUAACCAUCAGAGAAAAAGAAACUUAGAAAAGAUCAGGCCUUAAUGGAUGAAACAACAAAAAAGUGGUGGGGGAAGUCUGUAGUUUCAGAUUUUCAAGAUUCUGUUAAUGUAGCCUCACAAUAAAUUAGAUUUAGCUCAUUUAGUCAUGCCUCUUGUCUGGUUUACCCUGGAGAGCUGACAGAGGGGGAUAUUAUGUGCAUUGCCUUGAAUUACAUGACUAAAGAAAUAAAAUUACAUUUAGGAAUUGGCUAAAGAAAUACAGUAAAUUCAAAAAUGAAAGUGUUUUAAUAUCUUUAUUUAUGUAAUGCAUGUAACCUUGACAUCUUCAUUACUUUUACAUCCAGUCAGAAAAAGGAGAUUGGGAAAAAUCUGAAGAUUAUGUGAGAACUUAGGGAAUUUCACUCUAGUGAACCAAACUAACACUGUUAUUGGGUCUAGAAUUGGGAAUUGAAUCCAUUAAUUUGCAGAGAUGCACUAAGAAUAGGUUUCCCCCAAAAUCCAAAGGGAUUUAAACUGGCAAUAUUAAUUAGUUU